GCUUAACACAUGCAAGUCGAGGGGCAUCAGUUUGGUUUGCUUGCAAACCAAAGCUGGCGACCGGCGCACGGGUGAGUAACACGUAUCCAACCUGCCUCAUACUCGGGGAUAGCCUUUCGAAAGAAAGAUUAAUAUCCGAUAGCAUAUAUUUCCCGCAUGGGUUUUAUAUUAAAGAAAUUCGGUAUGAGAUGGGGAUGCGUUCCAUUAGUUUGUUGGGGGGGUAACGGCCCACCAAGACUACGAUGGAUAGGGGUUCUGAGAGGAAGGUCCCCCACAUUGGAACUGAGACACGGUCCAAACUCCUACGGGAGGCAGCAGUGAGGAAUAUUGGUCAAUGGACGCGAGUCUGAACCAGCCAAGUAGCGUGAAGGAUGACUGCCCUAUGGGUUGUAAACUUCUUUUAUAUGGGAAUAAAGUUGUCCACGUGUGGAUUUUUGUAUGUACCAUAUGAAUAAGGAUCGGCUAACUCCGUGCCAGCAGCCGCGGUAAUACGGAGGAUCCGAGCGUUAUCCGGAUUUAUUGGGUUUAAAGGGAGCGUAGGCGGAUUGUUAAGUCAGUUGUGAAAGUUUGCGGCUCAACCGUAAAAUUGCAGUUGAUACUGGCAGUCUUGAGUGCAGUAGAGGUGGGCGGAAUUCAUGGUGUAGCGGUGAAAUGCUUAGAUAUCACGAA
rnacentral:rRNA from 1 species